UGGAGGUGAGGGUCUUCAAAGGUGAGAAUGAUUUGUGACUUACAGUUGAGAUGCUGUCUUCCACAUAUUCUCCUGUGUGGUUGUCUACAUGGGAGGAAGAAAAAUAAGAAGUGGGGGGCAUCUUUCUCCUCUGAAAAAGGUGAGAUUCUCCAGUAAAUGAAUGACUCCAAAGAAACCAACAAGUCAGAAUGAGCAGAUUAUUAUUUCCUCUUCAGCCAUGCAGGAGAUGAGGUUCGAUCCCUGGUGGAGAAACUAAGAUUCCACAUGUUGUAGGCCCUUGCACCACAACUAGAGAAGCCUGUGUGCUGCCCUAAGGACCAAUGGAGCCAAGGGCAGCCAGCUGCCAUGUUGCAAAAAUCUGCAAGCAGCUGCCCAGAAGAGCCCACACGGAUGAGGAAUUACCAUCCUACUGAGUGAGCCACCUUAAAGUAGAUUCUGGAGGCCUAAUCAAGCCUUCAGAUAGAUAACAGUAACCUCAUACAACAUCUGACUGCAACACCACUAGAGACCCAGAGCCAGAACAUCCCAAC
ensembl:lncRNA